AUAAAGAGUAUCAAGUCUUAAACAUAGGUAUGAAUAUUAGGGUAAUAUUUAUACCGGAUUGACCCGCUAUGAGAAUACUAUAUAGAAAGUUAUGCAAAGUGUCAUAAGUUAUCUCAUGGUGAUAAUAGUGUAUACCACUCUUCAACCUGAAACCACUAUGGAUCUUAGAUGUAGAGUCAAGUGCUUUAUUGCUGAUCCAACGUUGUCCGUAACUGGAUAACCAUAAAGAUAGUUGAUGGGUACUCCACGAAGCAUGCUGA
rnacentral:lncRNA from 1 species